rnacentral:tRNA from 2 species
GAUCCCGUAGCUCAGCUGGUAGAGCAUUUGACUUUUAAUCAAAGGGCCUUGGGUUCGAGUCCCAACGGGAUCA